UCCGCUGUAGUCUAGUCGGUUAAAAUAUUUGGCUCUUACCCGAAAAACCCAGGUUUGAUUCCCGGCAAUGGAA
rnacentral:tRNA from 1 species